rnacentral:tRNA from 2 species
GUCUCGGUAGUCGAGGUAGAACGGCGUUGGCGUUUCGACCUCUAGGCGGUGGAUCGGGUCCAUCUUGAGCUGCC